rnacentral:rRNA from 1 species
CCUACGGGAGGCAGCAGUGGGGAAUUUUGGACAAUGGGGGCAACCCUGAUCCAGCCAUCCCGCGUGUGCGAUGAAGGCCUUCGGGUUGUAAAGCACUUUUGGCAGGGAAGAAAAGGCUCUGGCUAAUACCUGGAGCUGCUGACGGUACCUGCAGAAUAAGCACCGGCUAACUACGUGCCAGCAGCCGCGGUAAU